rnacentral:lncRNA from 1 species
GUUAGGCUGGAAUACUAUCAAUAGCACCAAUGAUUUGGUGCUAUUAAGUUUUUUGUCAUUGAAUUAAAAGAUGUGCGGUUAGGAUGAUGUGGGCCCCCUAGGGUUGCGUGGGUGGUUGGUUGAAUAGUAUAAUCGAAUGGAUGAAAAUGAUGAAAGAAGUAAAUCUAAUAGUAGAAAACUUGAUAGCACCAAAUGCCUCGUGCUAUCAAUAGUAUUCCAGCCGAAUUUUAUAUAUAUAUAUAGUUGGAUUGGGCUACUAUUAGUAGUAAAAUUCCAUUGUUGCUACCAGUUUUUUAGCCUUUGGAUCAACUCUUUU